rnacentral:rRNA from 1 species
AACAGCCGCGGUAAUUCCAGCUCCAAUAGCGUAUAUUAAAGUUGUUGCAGUUAAAAAGCUCGUAGUUGAAUUUCGGGGUUAGUAGGUUGGUUAUGCCUCUGGUAUGUACUGGUCUCACUGAUUCCUCCUUCCUGAUGAGCCGUAAUGCCAUUAAUUUGGUGUUGCGGGGAAUUUGGACUGUUACUUUGAAAAAAUUAGAGUGUUUAAAGCAAGCUAACGCUUGAAUACAUUAGCAUGGAAUAAUGAAAUAGGACGUUCGAUCCUAUUUUGUUGGUUUCUAGGAUUGACGUAAUGAUUAAUAGGGAUAGUUGGGGGCAUUAGUAUUCAAUUGUCAGAGGUGAAAUUCUUGGAUUUAUUGAAGACUAACUACUGCGAAAGCAUUUGCCAAGGAUGUUUUCAUUAAUCAAGAACGAAAGUUAGGGGAUCGAAGACGAUCAGAUACCGUCGUAGUCUUAACCAUAAACUAUGCCGACUAGGGAUCGGAUGAUGUUAAUUUUUUAAUGACUCA